AGCUCUGUAAGCGUAUACCAAAGUUGUUGCAGUUAAAACGCUCGUAGUCGAAUUUUGACGUUAUGCUUCUUUAGACCCCUGAUGGGUGUCUGAAGUUUUGCUGCGUCUUUGUGGAUUUAGAAUGCUUGGUGAUGCUUAAUUGUAUUGCUGCAUUUUUGCCACUGUUUACUGUGAAAAAAUUAGAGUGCUUAAAGCGAGCGAUUUGCCAUGAAUAGAUUAGCAUGGAAUAAUAGAAUAGGACCUGGUUCUGUUUCUAUUGGUUUGUCAGUUUCAGGUAAUGAUUAAGAGGGACGGUCGGGGGCAUUUGUAUUCCAGGGUUAGAGGUGAAAUUCUUAGAUCCUUGGAAGACACACAGCUGCGAAAGCGUCUGCCAAGGACGUUUUCA
rnacentral:rRNA from 1 species